AAUCAACGCUGGCGGCGUGCCUCAGACAUGCAAGUCGAACGAUUAAAGCUCUCUUCGGAGAGUGCAUAAAGUGGCGCACGGGUGAGUAACACGUAAGUAAUCUACCUUCGAGUGGGGAGUAACGUCCGGAACGGACGCUAAUACCGCAUAACGCAGCGGCAUCGCAAGAUGAUAGUUGUUAAAGAUUAUUCGCUUGAAGAGGAGCUUGCGGCAGAUAGUCUU
rnacentral:rRNA from 1 species